UACAGUGAACAUCUUUACACGAACAGAGCACCCAAACAUGUCACAUCAGAUGAUUGCAGACAUGCAGUUGGAAAAGAAGUCCAGACAAACAAUCACUGACCAGACAUGAAUGACAUUGUUCGUCUAAAAUCUAAAGAUUUGAGAGCUAGACUCUGGGAAGUGCCUUUUGCUAGGUAAAAACAAUCCACCUUCAUGCGGCAGCAACACCUGUCGGUUGCUGUUAAGACCACCUUCGCCAGGUUUUGAGGGUGAAACUUCUUUCCUGUUUUUCACAUAUUUAAAGAACUCUGCAACUUGGUGUGCAUAGUGCUCCUUUGCUUCGAUAUCUCUGCUAAAAUCAAUGUUGGCUUCACAAUCAAGAACCAAAGCAGGCACCUUUUGAAUACUUGAAUGCAUAUGGUUGCCUUCCAAAUAAAACACACGAUCUCUAAUUUCAGGAUGUAAAGCAUUAUCCAACUGUAGGGGUGGCUUACUGACAGAUAAAACUCCAUGAUUACCACUUUGGAAAGGGAAAAGCCAGCUCUCAUGCUUUUCAUGCAAGUCACGGAGAUAGUCUAGGCUGACACCACCCUCUUCUGCUCUCCUCCGCAGCUUCAUUCUCUUGUGGCAAGUAUCAGGGCUUGCUCGAAGAUAGAUAAAACCAUNNNNNNGGCCAGGUAAAACUGAGACAACUGGAUCAAACCAUGAGUCAUAAAUGCUGAUCUCCAUCUCAUUCAUCCACUUUGCUUCAUGCACAGCUCGUACAAAGACCAUUCUGUCACUAAAAAUACUCCUCUCCAUCAACCUGAGUGGCUUUACUCCACCAGAUGACUCUCUCUCUUGCAUCACCCUUGUGACAAACACAUAAUUCUGAAAGGUAUAGGC
rnacentral:misc_RNA from 1 species